CCAUUCCCUUUGCUCUCUCUCCCCAGGCCCAGUGAAGCACCGGCUCGUCCCACUCCCAUUUGCUCUCUGCCCUUGUCUGCUUCCAUCCUCCCAAUAUACCAGCACCGGCCUCAUCUUCAUGAAGGUGAUGAUGAUGAUGAAGAGGGACAGGAGGAGCAGGAGGAGGAGAAGGAGCAGAAGGAGCAGGAGGAGGAGGAGCAGAAGCAGGAGGAGGAGCAGGAGGAGGAGGAGCAGAAGCAGGAGGAGAAGCAGGAGGAGGAGGAGCAGGAGCAGGAGCAGGAGGAGGAGCAGGAGGAGGAGCAAGAGGAGGUAGAGGAGCAGGUGGAGGAGCAGGAGCAGGAGCAGGAGCAGGAGGAGCAGGAGGAAAGCCAGCAUUGGAAACUACAGCACAACCCGCCACCCCUUCCCAUNNNNNNNNNNNNNNNNNNNNNNNNNNNNNNNNNNNNNNNNNNNNNNNNNNNNNNNNNNNNNNNNNNNNNNNNNNNNNNNNNNNNNNNNNNNNNNNNNNNNNNNNNNNNNNNNNNNNNNNNNNNNNNNNNCCGCUCCAGACCAAGCACAGAGCCCGUGGCCGGUCAACGGAUGCUCUGCACCCUCCUGGCCUCUGUCAGCACCAUCUCGGUGCCGCCGCUCAUCCUUUCCUGCCACCCUGCCCUCGCCCUUCAUCCCUGCACAGAGCUCCUGCUUCCCAGUGUCCGUUUUCUCCUAAGCACCAUCCAGCUGGAUGCAAGCCCACUCCUGCAUGUGGCUCCUACACUAGACACCCGCAAUUCUGAAGGGCCCACAUCUCAGCGGUCCUCAUGGGCACGGCGAGGACCACACACCCCACCCAAGCCACGGCAGCAUCUAACUGCAGAAGACAUCAUCAGAGGCCGAGAGAGCCAGUCACCCCGCCAGGAGGCGUUCUGGCCCAGAGGGGACAGCCCCACUGCAGUGGCAGAGGCCCAGGGGGAGGCUCCUCCUGUGGACCCCGGUGCUCUAGGAGGCCUGGGAAUCCAGUUGCCCAUGUGUAGAUCUGCACAGCUGGGACCCGACCUCAAGAUGAUGAUAUCUGGGUCACUGAGUUCUUUUCCACCUCAAAGAAAAUGACGGCAGGUCUCUUAGGGCUUGGCUGGUAUAAAUCCAUCUGCACAGCAAUGACAAUGCUCUGAAGCGAUUCAUUUUGCUGCGUGUCAGGGCUUGUCUCACACUUAGUGUCUCGGGAUGGGGCAGGAUCUGUGACCACCCUGGCUCAGGGCCAGGGGACUCAGGCUCAGGGAGACUGCCGUAUGACUAAGCCAGAGGCAGAGAGGGGUUUGAACCAAGGGCCCCGACUCUGAGGCCUGCUCGUCACCUCUGGGCAUCCUAACACUGCCCUGUCUGGAGCCAGCCCCAAGUCACGUGUGCCCAAAGUCACACGGCUGCUCUGAGCUGAGCAUGGCUGGCGCCAAGGCAGCGCUGCACACCACUGCUUCUUUUGGGCACUUGUUUGCUCGUCCAGUAGCUCCCAGCCCCCGAGGGAAAGGACCCACUCCCUCAUUUCUGUCUGCGCAGCUCCUGCAGUGCCCAGCGCAGAGGGAGCCUUCACAUCUCUCAGUUCAGCGGAAUCCUUCAGGUGGGGACCCACAGGUGCCCGGCCUGUCCCAGCCUGGAGACCUCGGGUUUGCAGCUCAGCCACAGUAGCUUCAUGACAGGCUGCGGAGUGCGCAUUCUGCUCACAAAGUGUUCUUUUCUUCACAUAGCGUGGGCCUCGACAGGUGGGAUGCAAACCCAGCACGGAGCUAUGCAGUUUCUGUGGAGCACAGUUUUGCAUUUAGGAAUCUGAGUUUUCGGAAACUCAGUGCCAGGAGUGGAGGUGAGCCGAUCCCUCUGGUUGCCUCUUCUGGGUCUAGUUGUCCUGGGACAGUUUCUCAAAAGGGAAGAAAGUUACCAACCUGCCUGGUGGCUAUCAGUGGUGGGUGGGUUUGUUCCUCAGGGCAAACAUGGUACUGCCUGGAGAUACCUGUGGUUGUCAUAGGAGGGCCGUGUGCAUGCUACCUGUGUCCAGGGGGAGAGGCCAGGCCCUGCUGUACAUCCUACAACACAGCACACCCAGCAGCUUGGCCUGGCCAGCCCACACGCCACCUGCACCUGGGCUGACGAAUCCGAUCACCACGCAGCCCCACAUAUGCCUGCCCAGAGGUUUUACGGAGGAAGCUCUGCCUAACAAUUAAAUUAGGUUUCAUGAGAUUUUGUGCCCUGAGAGCAGCAGAGAUCAUCGGGGGAGGAACAAAGCCAGAGCAAGACCAUGGUAGUUCAGAAGCACAUUUGGAAACAAGGCUUUGAGGCGAAGGUCCAGGACCUCUUUCCACAAACCCAGCUGCAAAACAUUAAAAUACAGAUUCCUAGGCCUCCCACAAGCUGGCUGAAGUGGGCACCGUGUGGGAGGGUAGCGGAGUCUGCAUUUUUAGGUAACUCCCAAGUGAUCUGGAUGUAGGUUAACAUUUUCUUCCACUUCCCAGAGGUAGGGUGGAGCAGAUGGGCCACAUGCACGGUGGUUUUUAAAAAGUUAAGUUGCACAUUCUGGCACGAGUUCUCCAACUUUAGUAUCUGUACUGCAGCCCCGUGAGCUGCCCUAGGCAGCACCAAAUGCUCUGCUCAGCAGUUCACAAAACCGCUUGUGAGUUGCAGGAUCUUUCGAAGCAGCAGUACCCGUGGAGCCCUACUUUGUCCGCACUCUCUUCGGAACAUGUAACCGUGAAAGUAAACAGCAUAGCCUGCAUCGCUCAAGAGAGACAAGCAGUGCAUGUGGGAAGCGACCCUGCAGGGGGCAGCUGCAGCUGGCCAGGAGAACUCCCCAGACCAGGGCCCUGCUGCCAUGCAGACCCAGAUCUGCCUGUGGCCUGAGCCUCCCAUCCAAGCUCAGGGUUGCGUGGCAAGUGCUGCUUCCUGGAGGAGGAAGAGUGGCGGACAGGCGCCACGCACCGUUAGCUGUGAGCCUGUCUUCACGAAGUCACACAUGGCUGGGACAGGCCGGAGGCUGGCGGAUGACUGAGCCACCGUGUGCAGUGGGCCAACUCUGUGCUGGGGCCCGAAGAAGCAGUGAAGGCACAGAAAUGAGUCAGCAAGUGCACCCAAGGAGGCAGCAUGGCAUUAUUAGCCCGGGAGCCACAUUGGCACCCAUCAGCUCCAACUGAUGAGCUUUUGAAAAGAGCCAUGUUAAGUCGGGCUGAGUGGUGCACACCAGUGGUCCCAGCUACCUGGGAGGCUGAGGCAGGAGGAUAGCAAGUUCAAGCCAGCCUGAGCAACUUAGUGAGGUACUGUCUUAAAGAGGUAAACAGGGCUAGGGACGUAGCUCAGCGUGAAGGCUCUGGGUUCAAUUCUCAGUGCUGAAAAAAUAAGCAGAAAGCCAGAACCAUCUUCAAUCCCACACCAGGACAAAGUUAAGGACUGGUGCCUUUUGCAUGUCACUGGCCCGCAGAGACUGGAAUUGGGUGUGAGAAGCAGAAGUCCUGUGUAGAGACUGGUUUCCAUGCUCCUCCUCCCACUCCUGCAACUCUCUAGGUGGUGGGGCUGGUGCCCCAGAGGGACAAGCCGACACCCCAAGGGCCACAAAAGCUCAAGAGCUCAGCUAAAAAUCAGCACGAACGUGUGGUUUGUUGUUCCAUUCACGUUUCCCCCAAAAGGCCGACCUCGACCUCAUGUCAGUCUCAGCUGGGCUCUGCACCAGCCCACCUUGCUGUGCACUGGGCACCCGCAGCUGCAGCCCAGCCCAUGGGUCCUCGCAUUCACCAACACCACUUUAUCUUCACCUCUUCUCUGCCACUCGCAUCCAGCCUCCUGCGUAAUUCCCACCUCAGGUGUAGCUGCUCUCAGUUAGUUGUCUCCUACUUGAGACACUCGUGUUCCAGCCGUCAGAGGACUGCCCACGUGGGAGGUGUGAAUGUGGAACUGGGCCAGGAGGAGCUGGGGCAGCUCUUAGAUCCAGGCACCGGAAGCGCAGCAGAAACCCGAAACAGCAUUUCCCAGGCAAAGGCCCCGGGGAGCGUUUCUGAGCAAGCCUAUGAUGGACACACCUUUCUCUACAGUUGACGAGGGCUUGUGUUUUCAGAAGCUUCUCCCUGUGCAUCUGCAAAGCAUCCCUGUUUGGCUCGGAGUGGAAAGACAAUUCAGUGCCUGGCUUCAACUAUGCAAACACACUUACUGAGCACCUGCUUGGAGCUAAACAGGCUCUGGUUGAGGACCACAGGCUGCUCUCCUAGAACAGGAGUGGGGAAGAAGGUGGGUAAGGCAGUGCCUGGGAGAGGAGGUGCUCCUGAGGUACCCUGGAGCACACUGAAGGGGGCAUUGGAUGGGUCUGAGGCUGCUGCCCCACCCCAGCCCUGGCACCAGGACCUGGUAGCCUCAGGAGAGCGUCCAGCGAGC
rnacentral:lncRNA from 1 species